rnacentral:sRNA from 1 species
GAGAAACUGGAAGAAACCAAGCUCAUAGUAACUGAAAAUGCAGACCAUGAAAAACUCCAAGUUAAAAUCCAGGCUUUUGAAGACAAGAUAAAUGCAGAGAGCAAUACCCCUGGCUCUAUCAGAAGAUACAGUCUGGGCCAAGUUUCUAAAGAAGAAAGAAAAAACAUUAGAUUUAACAGGUCAAAAAGUUUGGCUUUGCACACUAUGCUCACAAAGGGUGUGGGUUCAGAUGACGGCGAAGAUGAAAACAGGGGAGACAUACCAGCCAGCAUCUCUCUUUCAGAAAUAGACCCACUUGGCCAAGGAAAUGACAAGCUGCCCUUUAAGACAGACACUGAGAGAUCACAGCUGGGGGAGUCUUCAGUUUCAUACCCAAAUAUUAUACAUAUAGACUCAGAGAAUUUGCCAGAAACUGUUAAAGAAAACUUCCAGGAAGAAACUCCAGAGACAACUGCAAGUCCUAUAGAAUACCAAGAUAAGCUCUACUUGCAUUUAAAAAAAAACCUCAGCAAAGUGAAAGCAUAUGCCUUGGAAAUUGGAAAGAAGAUUCCAGUCCCUGAUCAGUGUACCAUUGAAGGUAAGUGUUGUGUACUUCUGAAACCUGAGAAACUUCAGGAGUCACUGCAAAUAAACAAAAAGCUCAAAUCA